AAGAGGAGGAUUGGAAUGACUGCUAAUGGGGACAGGGUUUCUUUUUGGGGUGAUGAAAAUGAUCUGAAGUUAGAUAGUGGUGCUGGUUGCACAACUAAAAUACUAAAACCAUCAGUACAUUUUAAAAGGGUGAAUUUUAUGGUACG